ensembl:lncRNA
CUUAGGCUGGGCCCUAGAUCCACCCACUGGCAUCCCUAUAGAGAAGAAGAAAGCCACGUGAAGAUGGAGACAGAGAUUUGAUGUAGUGUGGCUAUAAGACAAAGAACACCAAGGAUUCCCAAUAGCCAGCAGAAGCUAGAAGAGGCAGAAAGGAUCCUCUUUUAGAGUCUUCAGAGAAAGCAUAGCCCUGCCCACAACCUGAAUUUAGACUUCUGCCUUCCAGAACUGUGAGACAGCCUGUGCCAGUCUCCUGCAGCACCCAGCCUCUGCAGCACAAGUACCAAGCAACUGCAGCUUCCCUGGGCACCCGGAGCAGUUUUGUAAGAGAGCACCUCCAGUGAGAAACCAACCCAUGAACAGCUUUCCUGGGCAGCUUAGAAGAUAAGAUCCAAGUGGAUACAUCAUCCUUCUACACCUUCCAUGUCUAAUGUUGUAGCCACUAGCCACAUGUAGCUAUUGAGCAUUUGAAAUGUGGCUGGUGCCGAGGAGAAACUGACUUCUUUAUGUUUCCUUUUAUACUGAAAUUAAAAAAAAAAAAAAGUGGACUUCCCUGAUGGACUGGUGGUUAAGAAUCCAUCUGCUGACGCAGGGGACAUGGGAUGAUCCUUGCUCUGGGAAGAUCCUGCAUGCCACGGACACAGAACCCAUGCACUAGAGCUGGCCCUCUACAACAAGAGAAGCCACCACAAUGAGAAAAUGGCAGGCAGCAACGAAGACCCAGAGCAGUCAAAAAUAAAUAAAUAAAAAUUUAAAAACUG